rnacentral:rRNA from 1 species
GACGAACGCUGGCGGCGUGCCUAAUACAUGCAAGUUGAGCGCUGAAGGUUGGUACUUGUACCGACUGGAUGAGCAGCGAACGGGUGAGUAACGCGUGGGGAAUCUGCCUUUUAGCGGGGGACAACAUUUGGAAACGAAUGCUAAUACCGCAUAAAAACUUUAAACACAAGUUUUAAGUUUGAAAGAUGCAAUUGCAUCACUCAAAGAUUAUCCCGCGUUGUAUUAUCUUGUUGGUUAGGUAAAGGCUCACCAAGGCGAGGAUAGAUAGCCGACCUGAGAGGGUGAUCGGCCAAAAUGGGAAGGAGAAAAGGCCCAAAAUACUAAGGGAGGCAGCAGUAGGGAAUCUUCGGAAAUGGAAGAAAGUCUGACCGAGCAACGCCGCGUGAGUGAAGAAGGAUUUCGGAUCGUAAAACUCUGUUGGUAGAGAAGAAAGUUGGUGAGAGUGGAAAGCUCAUCAAGUGACGGUAACUACACAGAAAGGGACGGCUAACUACGUG